rnacentral:rRNA from 1 species
GACGAACGCUGGCGGCGUGCCUAAUACAUGCAAGUCGAACGCAGUGGGGACGGGUGAGUAACACGUGGGUAACCUCCCAUCAGAGGGGAUAACACUUGGCAACAGGUGCUAAACCGAUACUGAUGGAUGGACCCGCGGUGCAUUAGCUAGUUGGUGAGGUAACGGCUCACCAGGGCCACGAUGCAUAGCCGACCUGGGAGGGUGAUCGGCCACACUGGGACUGAAACACGGCCCAGAAUCCUACGUGAGGCAGCAGUAGGGAAUAUUCGGCAAUGGACGAAAGUCUGACCGAGCAACGCCGAGUUAGUGAAGAAGGUUUUAGGGUGGUAAAACACUGUUGUUAGAGAGGCGGUAUCUAAACAGAAAGCCACGGCUAACUACGUGCCAGCAGCCGCGGUAAUAC